GAAGAUGAAAAGUGCAUUUGUUUAUGGCUACUUUCUUAUUUGUUUAUGGAUACUUCUGACCUUAAAUUCAAUAAAGCAGUAAAAUCUGCUGAACCUCCCAAAUCUAUUUGGAAACUUUUUUUUGUUAGAGUGCUUCAGUACAGUAUUCUUACAGUAAGCUUAUUUUACUUUUAAUAGUUUUAUUUGUUCAAAAAAAAUGCAGUUUUAAUUUUUAUUAUCUUAAAAGCACACGUGAAAUUGUUAAUUCCAAGUUGGAUAUUGUAGAGGACUGCUCAGAACUUCCAACAGUAUCCGAUAUUGACGCAAAAAAGGAAAGCGAAAAGGUUAAUUUUUUUAUUCUAACUUCAAUUUAUUUGAUUAUUUCAGUUAAUUGUUAACAUCAUGUUUAAAAUAAUGCUAUGUGUAACAAUAUUCUAUGUUAUGGUGUUCAUUUUAUCUAUUGGUAGUAUAAAAUUUAUCUAUUGGUAAUAUAAAAGUUUAUUUUAUCAAUAGAUAAAAUAAAUACCAAAAGAUAAUAACCCUGUAACACAACAGUAGUCUCUGAAAAUAAAAAGGGUUAUAAACUAAUUUAUGUCAUUACCAGUUUUAUGGAAUGAAUUGUGUGAUUCAGAUUCCAAUCAUACAAAAUCCGAAAACGGAAAGAAGUUUUCGGUAUCAAUUUCAACCUCAAACCUGAAGUUUCCUACUCCUCCUCAGUUGCAAUCCGAAAUUCAAAAUGCAUCAUCUACUAUCUGCUCUCUCUCGUUAUUAUUUUUAAAUGAUUUAUCUUUUUGUAAAAAAGACAACCAAACUACACUACCAUUAUCAAUAUUAAUGCCAGUUAGUAUAUAACACUGCAAGUAGAGCAGUUACAAUAGCACUGCAAGUAGAGCAGUUAUCACCUGAUUUAGUCAAUUGUCAUGUUGGAGGUGUGUUACAUUUAUUUAUGCAUUAGCAAAUGAUGAAUUUGUUUGUUUGUUCAUAUGAACUUAAUAUAUAUAGAAAAUAUUUUCAUACUAUUAUUACUAUAGUUUUUGUUAAAGAAUUAUUAUGCGUGUUUAAAAUAUAUAUAUUUACUUUAUUUUUCUUCGCAUUUAGGAAAUGAUCAUCGAAAACUAAUAUUAUUAGAAGAGAUUAAACAAAAAAAUCAAAAUAUAAUUUUUCUUCUGCAACAAUUAUCAGCACAACAGCAGUGUGGUAAUAUAAAAACAAGUUUUGAUGAGUUUGGGUUUCGUGUUUCAUCAAUGGAACAUUAACAAAAAUUAGAUACAGAUUGCCUUGACAAUGACCUCCCAGGAUAGUUUAUGCUGUUCGGCGUAAUCCUAUAACAUGUCGCGGUACGGAUGCAAGGUUGCUUGUGCCAGUAAAGGAUGGCUUCGAUUCGCGAAAUUCCUGUGGAGGGAUGAGAAGAAACAUCAUUUUAACGAUUUUAGUUAUAUACUUUUAUAUAUAAUUUAUGAUUUUUCUGUUUGUGUGUAAUAGUUUAAAUUAUUUUGUAACGAAUAAACAUUUAACUAGAAACCAACAAA